CUCCAAGCGACUCCCUCAGCAGCGGUCGAAGGGACCACCUCGGCCGGGAGCAGGCCGCGCCCCCUACGCGUGACCAGCGACCCCGGGCCACACCAUACACGGCGGGGGACGGCGGCAGUGGUGGAGGAGCCACCAGCCCGGAGCGCAGAACGUGCACCAGGCCAGAGAGGGGGCUCCGCCCCCCGCACUCCAGACAGUGGUUUCGUCCAGAUUAGCCGCGCCCCGGGGCGGGGCUUCCAGCUUUGGCCAGGACUUCACCCUCUCGGAGCUCUAGGGCUGGGGUUGGGCUCUGGGUGCUGAGAGACGCCUGCGGGUGGGACCCCACUGACUCGGGAGAGGUCGGCUGCGAGGCGUCGUUCCUAAACCCACCAAACGGACCCGGAGUCUCAGAGCAUGACGUCAGACCCAGUUUGCCCUCCGGGGAAGGCUGGCCCCAACUCAUGGGACUUGAGCUUAGCCGAGCUGACCUAAACCUAGGACAGGUAUCUUCAUAGUCUACUUCUGAAAAGCAGCUCGACAGACGUAAAAUACUUGCUUGGCUUUCGUACCAUCCUUGGACAAGGCUCGUCCUUUAAUAGGAAAGGACCAUCCAAAUGGUAUGAGCUUUGGGCCUCACAAAACGAAGACCUACCUCAGACAUUUUGGGGAAGAGAACUUGACCUUUCUCUCUGAGUUCUUCCGUUCGUGUCUCCCUAAGGGAGGAGUGACUUACCUAAUUAGUAGAGAGCUGUGAGAGCCAUGGUACAUGCAUGACCUGAUCUGUCCUUGGCUCUCUCAUCGCAUCUGCCUUCCACAGCAAUAUGCUCACUGCAUACGGCCCUAGAUGCCAAGAUCCGACGGAGAAACAGUUGCUGCCUUUGCCCAAUGCUCCCCAGAUGGGCAGCUCUCCAAAGAGUCUUACAAAUGCCGGUGUAGCAUGACUGAGUGCAAAUUCCAGAGAAAGCACCGUGGAAGGAGAGCUUCUGAAGACAUGCAGAGAAAGUAGGCAAGGAAGGGAGGCUUCUAUGAGUCCUGGCCACCAGGCUGCCAGGGAUGAGGCACUGUCCCAGCUCCAGCUGCACCAUGAACCUGAUCAUACCCCCUUAUCUUAGAGAUCGGCUGUGUUCCCAGGAUGCAACUUGUGUUUGCCAAGUAACUGGAUGUUGUGGAAUAUUAUUUUAAGAUGUGUGACAUUUGUUUAUGCGGUGGAACAUUUGUUUUAAUGAUGCAAUGAUGUGUUGCCUUCUUUUAUGUUACAUUUGUUUAACUCUGUGGACCUAUUAAUUUGUCUGUCUAAAACAUCCAACGGUCUAAAAGAGCUAAACAGCCAAGGAGAGAAGGGACCCAGCCACACAGCCAGUCAUGGACUUAGAGUGAAAGUAACAUAUACAGAAGAAAAGGAAAAAGCCCAGAGGCUUAAUUUAAAUUAAGAAAAGCUGGCAAGAAACAAUCCGGGCUAAGGCUGAGCAUUCAAUGAUUUGGGGAGCUGGGUGGCGGGCAUCCAAAAGAGACAAAGAGUAGAACAACCCACAACACCUGGAUGUACAGACUUGCCCCAGAGGAAAGGUGGAAAUCUCAUUUUGGCAUGAGGUCGAAGCUGUUGUGCCUGUUUCACUAUUAAUCAGCAACAAGACUGAUCUUUAAUCCUAUCGAACAUCUGUAUUAUUUCCCAGAAAAAUAAGAAGUAUGAUGGUCACAUCUAAUGAGAAAUGAAACCAAUUACAAUUGUGAAACUAUUGUAUAAAAAGGUAUAAUUGACCAUAUGUACAAGCACGACAGUAGGUGCUAUCAAAGAUACACACACCAGUAACACAUGCCCAAUCUCAAGCUUACAAUUUAAACAAAAUGCAUACUCAACUCCCGCGCGAGUAUUUAAUGCAUGUCCAGUUAGUGAUUUUGGUUAGAUCGGGCAUAGGAACUGGCAAUUGGAGGUAGGGUCUUUAGGAGGUGAUUUCACGUAGGCUGUUCUUCAUACUAGGACUGAAGCCUGUAUAAAAAACGCUCUUCGUGCUGCCUUUGGCCUCUCCUGCCCUUUGACUUCGACCAUAUGAGGAUCCAGUGAGGGGGCUCUUAUCAGAGGCUCGAGCUCUGAUAAUAGACUUUCCAGCUCUAAAUGGGAGGCGAUUGUAAAGUUUAUAUGUGUGCGUGUGUGCAGUUUAUACACACACACACAUACACACACACGCGUGCGCACGUGCACACACACACUUAUAUGCAUACAUAUAUAGUGGGGGGGCUUGGAAUAAAGCUUUGGCUGGCCUAGAACUUGCUUUAUACACCAGGCUUGCCUUGAACUUGUGGCAGUUUGCCCAGAUCUGCCUGUCUAGUGCUGGGCUUACAGAUCUAUGCUGUAAUGCCGAGCUACAAAACCAGUCCAGUGCAGUUGUUGUUGUUGUUGUUGUUGUUGCAGCACAAAUAAACUAUGACAUGACACACAGUCACUUUUCCAGUUUUCUUAGUGAACAGCAAUUCAAUUUGCCUACUUUGCUUAGGACAAAAAUCUUUUGGUCACCUCUGACUUUUCUCCUUCUUGAUACACACUCACUACAUUAGCAAAUCUUAUUGGAUUUACCUUUAAUCUGUAUGGUAUCCUAAAUCUAACAUUGCUGUACACUGCUGUUGCCCUAGUCCAAGUUACCCAUUACCCAUGUAAUCUCUAUAAAACCAAAUCUUUCUUUCCUCAAAACCACGCAGUUACUUACCUGUGAUUCAGAAUAAAAACCAGCACCCUUACCGUGGGCUAUGAAACCAUUCUGGGCUGGACUCGACCCUGCUACCUCUCUGAUCUUCUCAUCCUACCAGUCUGUCCCUUUUUCAUGGCACUCAGCUUUCUCAGCCUUCUCUCUGAGCUCCAGGCACGCUAGAGAUGGCCCAUACGAGGAACUUGACCCUUACCGUCCAGUCUUGUAGCAUGUUCCGUCUUAGAUAUACAUGUGGCCCACUCAGAUGCUCGAAUAACUCCUCUGAAUGGAUCAUUUCACUCCGAGUUAUAUAGAAGAUUGCCCUGUAGAGAAAUCCCUAGGUUCCCAGCACUGGUGAUCCCAACUCUAAUUGUUAUCCCCACCUACUAUUUUUCUCUUCAAUUGACCGAUGUCUAUUUCCCUCUAGCCACAAUGUAAGUUCCAUGAGGUCAUAGGCUUUUUUAAAAAAAUUGUUAUAUUCUCAGUACUUAGUACAAUAUUUGGCAUGGCUGAGAUGAUGUCUCCAUAACAUUUGCCUAUAGGCAAGCCUGUGGUAUGUUCUCUGUGUGAUGGCUGAUGGGGGAGGGUCCUCCAGUCAAAAAGCAAUUCAUGUAAAAACAUGGCUCUGUCCUAUCUCAGUGUUCUGAAUGCUCACCAGGUUCCUCUAAUGCAAGGCCUGUCUUCUCCGGUCACUGUGCGUGUAAUUUGUGCUCAUCCCUCAGGGUUCAUCUUACCAUGUGUCCUCAUGGUCCCUGACCUAUAUCUCUCUACCAAAUUUCUUCCUCCUGUUAAUCAGUUCUCAGAUAUCCUGUGCUUUUCCUUACUAGUACCUUGCACACUCUAGUUAUUGAACAAUCACUUAAUUAUUUGUCUGAGGGUUGCAUCAUAUCUGCAACACCAAGCACAAUGCCUGGCAUAGUGAAGAUGCAUAAAUGCAUGAUUAAUUGACUGACUACUUCAGGGCUGAAGAAAUGAACCUGUCUAAACAACAAGGAUUCACGGGCAAAUGCAGUCCAACUCUAACCUGGAUUCUAUACACCUGUCCUUCUCUCUGUCCAUCCACACUUGUUCAUUUUUUUUUACUUCCUGUGUCUUAUUUUCUCCAUAUAGGAGCUAUGACAUAUCAUAUCAUAUAAGGACAUGUUAAGGACACUGUUCAACCCAUAUUAGAAAACUUUGUGUUACAAAUUUUAAAAAUUUGUGUUACACCUUGGGAGAACUAAAAGUUAUGUUUACUUCCUUGGGCAUCUCUGAAUAUAACUGGUAAGUUUUUUCUCUGUUCUCUAGACUCUAACAUACACUUUUAGGGGUUUGUUUUUCCGUCUCUAAGAGACACCCAAACACAACCAAAUAAACCACAAUGUACAUGUUACUUGAUCAGAAUCAUGUCAGGAAAGACAAAACCUAUCCUUAGACACUGAUGUCAAGGCACAAAGACCUCGAGGGAGCAAACAGAGAAAUUAUAAAAUACUCUAUAGUUAACCAAUGUGAUUCCUUCUCUUUCCAAAACAGAUAAAAACAGCUACCUUUUUUGUUCUUGCUAAUGCUAUGUUAAUUUGGUUUUUAAUUCUCCUCAGUCUGCUGGCUAAAAUGCUAUUUGAUUACAGAUGUGGCAGGCCGUUGGAAUCUGCUCUCAUAGGUCAGUUGUGUUCAGUGGCAUCACAGGGGCACCCUGAGUACUCUGUGAUAUUUAUCGUGCAGGAAUGAGCAAACACUACACGCCAGAGCUUUCCUCCUGGGACAGUCAGCUGUUAAACAUUACCAGUCCACUGCUGUUGGUAAAUCUGAGUAUUUUCUCAUGUACUUAUAAGUUUUCAUGUUUUCUUUAAAAUACUUGUUUUUGUCUUUUGUCUGUUUAUUAAAAAAUGAACUUUCUGAAAACUUCA